GACGAACGCUGGCGGCGUGCUUAACACAUGCAGGUCGAGCGAUGAAGCACCUUCGGGUGUGAAUUAGCGGCGAACGGGUGAGGAACACGUGAGAAAUCUGCCUUCAACACUGGGAUAACUCCGGGAAACCGGGGCUAAUACCGGAUAUGAAACCUGCGGGCAUCCGCGGGCUUGGAAAGUUUUUCGGUUGAAGAUGAUCUCGCGGCCUAUCAGCUUGUUGGUGAGGUAAUGGCUCACCAAGGCGACGACGGGUGGCCGACCUGAGAGGGCGACGGGCCACACUGGGACUGAGACACGGCCCAGACUCCUACGGGAGGCAGCAGUGGGGAAUAUUGGGCAAUGGAGGCAACUCUGCCCCAGCGACGCCGCGUGCGGGAUGAAGGCCUUCGGGUUGUAAACCGCUUUCAGCAGGGAAGAAGCGAAAGUGACGGUACCUGCAGAAGAAGCACCGGCUAACUAUGUGCCAGCCGCCGCGGUAA
rnacentral:rRNA from 1 species